GUGAAUCAUCGAAUUUUUGAACGCAAAUUGCACUCUCUGGUAUUCCGGAGAGUAUGCCUGUUUGAGGGUCAGUAUAAAUAAAAACCGGUGUGGUUGCUGCCUUUCGUGGUGACGUACCGGAUUUGAGUCGUCUUGCCCUCGGAUAAGUUACUUAAAAUCCUGCAUGAUUUUUUUCGUACGUAUUCAAAUGAAUUUACGUACGUUUGCGUUAUCGAAUACUAGGUGUGGUCACCCUCAUGAUUG
rnacentral:misc_RNA from 1 species